GAACGCUGGCGGCGUGCCUAAUACAUGCAAGUAGAACGCUGAAGAGAGGAGCUUGCUCUUCUUGGAUGAGUUGCGAACGGGUGAGUAACGCGUAGGUAACCUGCCUUGUAGCGGGGGAUAACUAUUGGAAACGAUAGCUAAUACCGCAUAACAAUGGAUGACACAUGUCAUUUAUUUGAAAGGGGCAAUUGUUCCACUACAAGAUGGACCUGCGUUGUAUUAGCUAGUAGGUGAGGUAAUGGCUCACCUAGGCGACGAUACAUAGCCGACCUGAGAGGGUGAUCGGCCACACUGGGACUGAGACACGGCCCAGACUCCUACGGGAGGCAGCAGUAGGGAAUCUUCGGCAAUGGGGGCAACCCUGACCGAGCAACGCCGCGUGAGUGAAGAAGGUUUUCGGAUCGUAAAGCUCUGUUGUAAGUCAAGAACGGGUGUGAGAGUGGAAAGUUCACACUGUGACGGUAGCUUACCAGAAAGGGACGGCUAACUACGUG
rnacentral:rRNA from 1 species